UACGAAGGGUGCAAGCGUUACUCGGAAUUACUGGGCGUAAAGCGUGCGUAGGUGGUUGUUUAAGUCUGUUGUGAAAGCCCUGGGCUCAACCUGGGAACUGCAGUGGAAACUGGACAACUAGAGUGUGGUAGAGGGUAGCGGAAUUCCCGGUGUAGCAGUGAAAUGCGUAGAGAUCGGGGGGAACAUCCAUGGCGAAGGCAGCUACCUGGACCAACACUGACACUGAGGCACGAAAGCGUGGGGAGCAAACAGG
rnacentral:rRNA from 1 species